rnacentral:snoRNA from 1 species
AACAUCAUUUUUAAUCGCUCACGCUGGUCCUACAUUUAAUUCAGAGGAGGAAGUCGUUUUCUAGUUCCUUCUGGUAUUCAGGACCGGCAAGAAGCGUAGAGGAAAUCAAGAUCGUUGCUGGGCGCCUGAUGUUGAUUCAUAGUAUGAUACAUUGGGAAUCAGCUGUUUCUACAUUC